rnacentral:ncRNA from 2 species
GGUCUCGAGUACCAGUGCGUACCGGAAGGUGCGCUAAGUCCCGGCUUGCUGGUCGGCAACCCCCCACGUGCGGAGGGUGCCCCGGGGUGACGACCUGGCCCGUGAGGGCAAUGACACGCA